rnacentral:lncRNA from 1 species
UGUAGAUGUAACCUAAAAUGUCACAAAUUUCCCUGAUCAUAGAGGCCUUUGAACGGCAGUGAGACAUCACACUGGCUAAGAGUCAGCUCUUCUGAGUCGAUUGAAGGCAGCAAUAUGGUAGAAGUAAGAGGAGUUCUGAGGCCAUCGAUGAAAGGACAGAGGCUUAUGAAGGGUUACAGCACGGGAGUGGAAAAUGAACGACCAGAUACUGCGGCUACGUUCAAGGCAAAGUCAAUGAGGCCUGACAGUGGACCAACUCCUCAGUAGAGAAAACUAUGGAACAUGCCUCCAGUUCUAAAAUUAGAAGUGAAAAUCCCCGGUAAGUAGAAUGGAGACAUUGGUAGGCAUGUAUUUUGAAAUUCAACCUCCCCAUUGGGGUAUUUU